CACUUUCCUAGGAUAUAAAAAAAGCUCUGAUCUAUACUGGGAGCAGGCAGAGGAAGAUAGGAGAUCCAAAGGUUGGCUCGGGCAGAGUUUAGGAGAGAGGAGAGACGACGUUUCCUUAGCCUCACUUCCAGCCCCCCUGCUUGCUACCCACAGAGAGCAGAGAAGGAAGGCUCCCUCCUUCUCCCCUAACUUGACUGCAAGCUGAGACUGGUCUCCGGAACUGAAGUCCAGCCAGGAACUCAUCCCCCGGGAGUCUCUGUGCUUGCCGCUGUGUUCCCUUGCUACCCAUUGCUAGGCGUCACGCCUCGUGGGGGAGUCUUCUCGAGCAGGAUUAAAAGACAGAGAAGAAGAAAACAUUGUAACCUUAACUGGAAACGAACAAUUUGCUCUACUGGGUUUCUAAUUACUAGUAGCAAAGCAUAAUGGCUGCAAAUCUGCUUCCUGGAGAGUUUGGAAGUUCUGCUUAUAGAUUUGAAGGUCGUCUUUGUCCUAUAAAGAAGGGGACGUGAUGGGCGCUUUUCUUGAUAAAUAAAGUAAUCCAGGGACCAGAGCUUCAUGGUGCUAUUUUCCGUGUUCUGUA
rnacentral:lncRNA from 1 species